rnacentral:rRNA from 1 species
CCUACGGGUGGCAGCAGUUUCGAAUCAUUCACAAUGGGCGAAAGCCUGAUGGUGCGACGCCGCGUGCGGGAUGAAGGCCUUCGGGUUGUAAACCUCUGUCACUGGGGAAGAAACGCUUCAAGUUAAUAGCUUGAAGCCUGACUUAACCCAGAGAGGAAGCAGUGGCUAACUCUGUGCCAGCAGCCGCGGUAAUACAGAGACUGCACGCGUGAUUCGGAUUCACUGGACGCAGAGUUGUGGCAGAGGGGUGAAAGCCCGGGGCGUAACCUCGGAAUUGCGCCUAAAACUACACGGCUAGAGCAUUGGAGAGGGUAGCGGAAUUCACGGUGUAGCAGUGAAAUGCGUAGAUAUCGUGAGGAACACCAGAGGCGAAGGCGGCUACCUGGACAAUUGCUGACGCUCAGGCACGAAAGCGUGGGGAGCAAAAGGGAUUAGAUACCCCAGUAGUC